rnacentral:lncRNA from 1 species
UGAAACAUUUGUCUUUUGUUAUUUCUGAAAGAAUUUAGGACAACAGGAAACUGUAUGCUCCUAGAGUUGUCCUUCAGUCAUAAAAUGAAGGUCUGGACCAAUUGCCUGUUCGGUGGCAUUCUUAGAAGACAAGGUAUGCUCAACUCUUUCUUUCAGGACAAAGGAGACUCCCGGCAUUAUUCCUGCUAUUUUAAUUUAGUGAAGUGCAACCUAGUUUCUUGACAUGAACUAUAACAAUGUUAUUGUGUUCUACAUUACAGAGAGUAAUUUAUUAUUUGGACUUAAUUGCAAAAAUGCUUAUAUUUAAGGCGUGUCAGAAGAUACACAUUUUCAAAUGAGAGAGGCUACAGUGUAGCAUCAGUGGUUCUUAUUGGUGAAAUAAUAGCAUUCAUCUUGCACACUUCUGGAGUUCCUGUUAAGAUUUUCAAACUAUAGGUGGAAUUUCACUCAAGUGACCAGUCAUAUCCAAUUUAUCCAGGGAAAUCUCUGAUAACAGACAGAAAGCAGAAACAUGUGUUGCCCUUGAAGUCACAUACAGGUUAACCACUCCCUUUUUUCUGCCCAAGUCUGUGUGUCCAGGAUCCUCUUAGCUGCCCAGGUAGGGUGUGCUUCUUCCCUUCCCAUUGGGACAACAGUACUAGGGGAUGAUGGGGACCAGGGUGACAUAGGGUGUCUCAGACGUCGUUACACAAAUACAGGGACAGAAGCAUGAGCCUGACAAUGCAGCACUUCUCACAACCUGCUACAGUGGUUAUUUGGUUGUUCAACAUAGUCCUGUUUUGGUCAGAAGUGCAGAGUGCACACCUGUGUUGUAAGGGAUCUUAAGUU